rnacentral:misc_RNA from 1 species
GGCAAACAUAAAAGACUCGAUAAGAUUAAUCAUCUUCUGGAAGUGUUCAACUGGUGAAAGAAUAACAUCAGCGAGCUUAGAAGAGUACAAACAAGAGAGCUGAUCUACCUUUUGGCGAUGAAUAUCAUCAACCUGAUUCUUUAUGGUGACAAGCUCUCGAAAGGUUGUCGAGUAAAUAGGUUUUUUCCGGCACCUCAAGGAAUUCCACCAUGAAAUAGAUGCUGCCCGUUCCUUCACUUCUUUUAGCCUCUCCUCAAGCA